CGGGACGGGUGAGUAAUGCUUGGGAAUCUGACUUAUGGAGGGGGAUAACGAACGGGAAACUGUAGCUAAUACCGCGUAGUAUCGGAAGAUGAAAGUGCGGGACCGUAAGGCCGCAUGCCAUGGGAUGAGCCCAAGUGGGAUUAGGUAGUUGGUGGGGUAAAGGCCUACCAAGCCUGCGAUCUCUAGCUGGUCUGAGAGGAUGGCCAGCCACACUGGAACUGAGACACGGUCCAG
rnacentral:rRNA from 1 species